AUAGAAAAGGCCCAGGAGAGACAGAAAGAGGCAUACAAGAGGAGGACCAAGAGCGGGACCAAGCGCUUCAGGAUCACACCAGGCAUGGAGGUCCUGAAGAAAAAUGAGAGGAAGCGUGAAAGGCAUGGUCAAACCAUGGAGCCAGAUUGGCCAAAUGUGUUCAGGGUUACUGAGGUUACGGACAAUAACCUUGUGCAGCUGGAGACCUUGGAUGGAAAGCCAUUGAAGACCAGGACACCCUAUGCUUCAGUGUAGCCUGUGCGGAGAAGAUCCCAGGCUGCCUGGCCCACCAAGGAGACUGUGUCCAAUCUAUCUGAGACUGAGUCAGCAGAUUCAGAGUUGGAGGAGGACCCAGUAGAGGACUUGGAUGUUGUCAUCACUAGUGUCCAGCCAGGCCGGGCUUAUCGAGCUUCACUGAGCAAAAGGGUGGAGGACUUCAGGGCCAUGCUCAGCAACCCAAGUACUUGGUUGGAUGACCAUGCUAUGGACCAUGCUCAGGCCCUGCUUAAGGCCAAGUACCCCAACGUCAACGGGCUCUACGCCACCACCUCCCUAGUCUUGCUGUCCACUUUGCCCGAGCCAGCACAAGGGUUUGUACAGAUACUCAAUGUUUCUGCAAAUCACUGGGUUACGGUAAGUGACAUUGGCUGCCAGGGAGGUUCAGUAAACAUUUUUGACUCCCUAGGACACACCAGGACAGAGGUCUUCAUUGAACAGGUCACAGGUCUGCUUGCUUUUCCAGGGAAGAGUGUCCGACAGCAGUGGCCGGACAUACAGCAGCAGGCAGGUGGAUCAGAUUGUGGACUGUUUGCUAUUGCCAACAGUAUUGCUCUCUGCAGCGGUGAGGGUCCCACCACAGUCCAAUACCAUCAAGGACAAAUGUCACCUCUUUUCCUGUUUUCAGGCUGGAGAAGUGCAACUCUUCCCUAGAGCCAUGAGGUCCCCCACUGCCGAGCCAGUCGCCAUUGAUGUGGAUGUGCACUGCCUCUGCAGACGGACCAUCGGGCAAGGAAAAGCACCUCUGGUCCCAUGCAGGAGACAUCGUGACAGGAAGAGUUUACCAUGCAGGGGCCAAAGAAAACCAGGGUCAUCAAGAAUCAGCAUAUUCUGGAAGUGUGGUGCAUCAACCUGAACCUGGAACAAGCUAGACCUGUCACUCAGCGCUUAUAAAUGACAUGCAUCAAGAAACUGCAUUAUCACCUUUUUCAUUUUAUAUUGAAGCAUGAUCAUUACAUAUAAGAUUGUUGUCAAUGUUAGUUGUAUAUCUGAGGCAAAUAAUUGAAUGUUAUUCA